UAUAAUAAAUUUAAAUAAAUAAAUAAAUAAGAUCCCAAAAUCAAAAUUUUAAUGUCCGAUACAUCCAACAAAAGUCCAACAAAAUUUAAUCUAUACAUCAUGCUUUCUAAGAAAAUCAGGUACUUCAACGUGGACAGCCACGAACUUGAACCGAUUAUACCUACACCAAAUUAAAUGAACAAGUGAACAAAUACUCAAUAAAUUAAUUUAAUAAAUAAAAAAAAUUAAUAAUAAAAAAAGAAAAAAAAAGCAGAUCCUAGAGGAUCGAUUUUUUUCAGACAGAGCUUUAAAUGCUGCAUUUAAUUAGAGAUAGGAAUGUUAGCAACUUGCUGCCUCAACUUGCUACCCACACCACUUUCACAGCCAUCUUUUAUACAUAUACGUAGAUAUCACAAUCACUUUCUUCACUCCCACAUCACAACUAAAUCCUCUUCCCAUAUAAUAUUUGUUGCACAAUCCGUUUCCUCCUAUCUCUGCAGCAAGAAAAAACCAAGAACCACUCUGCACAAUUUCAACUCAAGGUAAACAAUCCCUCUAUCGAUUUAUAUCUAAUUGCUCCUAUUUCAGAAUCUAACACCAACGAUUGCUAUCAAUAGAAAUCAAAAUUCUUCAGCUUCUUGAACCUCCUUUUUCAGCCUUGUGAACUCCACAGCCAAGUCCUACUCACAGAGGGUACGUCCGCAAGUAAAGUCGGAACGAAAGAUCCAAGUUAAGGAAACUAAGCGAUCAUGGUGAGCUUUCUUAUACUAAAAUACAAAUCAUAUUUUAUGAAAACACGAACACAUGUUCGUGAUUUUAAUGAUGUUGCCUUGCCAUUAAUGUUUUGUAUAUGAUGCCUAUCUGUUGGCUACGACCAAGUGAAUUAUGAAUGAUGAUAUAUGUGAAUCGAUUCGAUUUUGAGUCCUGGUAGGGUGGUGUCCCUCAUAUAAUUAAAUGAACAAGUGAACAAACACUCAUAUAAUUAAUUUAAUAACUUGAAAUAAUAAUAAUAAAAAAAGAAAAAAAAGAGAGCAGAUCCUAGAGGAUCGAUUUUUUUCAGACAGAGCAUUAAAUGCUGCAUUUAAUUAGAGAUAGAAAUGUCAGCAAUAGGAAUGUUAGCAACUUGCUGCCACAACUUGCUGCCCACGCCACUUUCACAACCAUCUUUUAUACAUAUACGUAGAUAUCACAAUCACUUUGUUCACUCCCACAUCACAAAUAAAUCAUCUUCCCCUAUAAUAUUUGUUGCACAAUCCGUUUCCUCCUAUCUCUGCAGCAAGAAAAACCAAGAACCACUCUACACAAUUUCAACUCAAGGUAAACAAUCCCUCUAUCGAUUUUUACCUAAAUUGCUCCUAUUUCAGAAUCUAACACCAACGAUUCUAUCAAUAGAAAUCGAAAUUCUUCAGCUUCUUGAACCUCCUUUUUCAGCCUUGUGAACUCCAUAGCCAAGUCCUACUCACGGAGGUAUAAUUUUUACUCAAUUCUAAAGCAUGAAAUUUUUAGCAAUUGUUUCAAACAUAUCAUCUUACACCAACAAUCGAACACCCGCUGCUGUGAUUAAUCGAAAAAAAAAACGAAAGAGCAUAACUUUGAAUAAGGAGAACUUAUCUUUCGUGGGGUCGGAGUCCUUCGGGGCUUUACGGGUUAGUUCCGAGACGUUUAGGGGUGAAUCGGGGUGAAAUCGGAGGCCUGACCCGGUGGCGCCAGCAGCAGCUCUUCCCGGCGGAUUGGCGGCAGAAAUUCUACACCGCGACGGCGACUGCACAGCAACGACUAUCGGCAAACAGCAACGACGCGACGGAUUCCUCGGUGGAAGCUAUGUGGGUCGUCGAUACUGGAGCUGAGAUUGGAGAAGGCGACGAGAUUGAGAGUUCUUCGAGAGAGAAAUAGAGGAAAAGAGAGAGAGAGUUGAGGGAGAAGAGGGCGUAUACGUGUAAAUCUCACAAAAUGAAGAAUUAGAGUGUACGUGUACUUCAAUUCCUUUAUUGAAACAAUUGCUUAAUAUUCUAAAAUGGAAGUGAGGAGUGUACGUGUUUUUUUUAAAAGAGAGUUCAUAUGUCUUUUGUUUCUUGGACCAACUCUUUUUUUUUUGUUUUGGUGGGCUAGUGAAUAAAUUAUAUUGGGCCUCAUUAAUUAAAA